UUCGCGCCGGCGCCGGCGCCCUGCGGAAGCGGCGUUAGUGAAUCGGGGCCUUGGGGAGCCCAGGAUGGAGGUGGCGGUCGCGGCGGCGGCGGGCCGAGCCCUGCGGAGGGCGGGAGGAUGAUGGGACAAGUCAGAUGAUGGCCCAGAGUUCCUUCAGCAGAUAGUUGGGCUGGAAUCGUACCCUUAUUAUCAUCAUUAUUGUGGCGUUGGCUCCCUAAAGCCUGCAGGGGGGCUCCCUGGAAGAGGCAGCAUGGCUUGUGUCCUGGGCUGGCUUCCUGGCCCCAUGGUCAGAUGAAUCAGCCCCAGAAACCUGACGAUUUCUUCUGGGGCCCUGGGCCUGCCCCUCUGCCUGGCCUCCUGACAGCAGGCUUCCAGCGCCCUCUCUCUGGUCCGACUGAGCUCUCUGCUACGUGGGCAGUCGCUGACCGGGGAAUGUGCUGCUGCCUCCUUGAGGCCACGGACCUGCUCCUCGCAGCUGACGGGAAUAGAUUAGGUAGACAGAGGCAGGCUGGAUCUGGCAUCCCAGGGAAGAGGCCCUUUCUUCACUGCAGCUGGGACCCCAGGCAGAGGCCUGCCUGCAUCAGCUGGCGGGGAGCCAGCACCUCCCUCCUGGCAGUCCUGCCUCUGGUCAGCCUACCGAGUGGCUCUGGUCCUGCGAGGGAACUGGGGUCCAAGGGGCUGCGACGUACCCACAUGUAUUCAUGGCUGGGCCCAGGACCAGGCCUGGAUUCUCGGACACCAGGCUCCACGCAUGUCCCACUCUGGCUCCUGCAGUAAAUCGAACUGCUAAUAAAUGAGCACAUUGAUACAUAAUUAA